AAGAUGAGAUACUAAGAAUACUGAGAUCAUACACUUAAUACUUAGAAGUUGAAUCAUGAUUAAAUAACUAAGUCUAAAACAUAAUACAUGGACUGAACUGAAUUCAUAAAUGCAUACAACGACAAGAGGAUAUUUAUAUAGCUGAAAUAUAAAAUGAGAGAAUCACUUAAGGAAAACAUUAACUCACGCUAAGAAACGAUGGGGAUACUUAACUCACAUAUUUGUUUCUUCUUCCCAUGUUGAUCCCUCAACGGACUGAUUUCACCAUAUAAUCUUAACCAAGGGAACUUCUUUAUUCCCCAGCCUACAAAUAUGAUGAUCAAGGAUCUCAAUUGGGACUUCUUAGUAUGAGAGAACAUCUUUGACAUCCACACUGUCUAAAGGAACAACAGAAUCUGAAUCAUCAAUACAUUUCAUUAGCAAGGAGACAUGAAAUAGGAGAAGCACUGAUUUCAAAUCUACAUGCAAUUCUAAUGGAUAUAAGAGAUUGUACACUUCAUACUUAGAACUGAAUCUGAAUUAAAUAACUAAGUCUAAAACAUGAUACAUGGACUGAACUGAAUUCAUGAAUACAUGCAAUGACAAGAGGAUGGUUAGAUAGAAGAAAUAGAAAAUGAGAGAAUCACUUAAGAAAAAACAUUACUUUACGCUAGAUCUGAAUUCAUAAAGAAAAUAUGGGGAUACUUAGCUCAUAUAUCUGUUUCUUCUUCCCAAGUAACUCCCUUAACGAACUAAUUUUGCCAUUGAACCUUAACCAAGGGAACUUCUUUGUUCCUCAACUAACGAAUCUGAAGGUCAAGGAGCUCAACUGGGACUUUUUCAUAUGAGACACUUUCACAUCCACACUAUCUAAAGGAACAAUAGAAUUUGAGUCACCAAUAUAUUUCAUUAGCAAGGUGACAUGAAACACCAGAUGCACUGAUGCCAAAUCAACAUGCAACUAUAAAUCAUAUGCUACCUUCCCAUAAAGGCUCAAAAUCCUGUAUGGACUAAUAUAGCGAGGACCGAGCUUCCCCUAUUUUCCAAAUCUCUUCACCCCUUUCUUAGGUGAUAUUUUCAAAUAAACCAAGUCGUCAACAUCAAAUUCAAGAUCUCUUUUCCUUAUAUCUUCAUAAUAUUUCUGACAACUCUAGGCUAUCUUUAGCCUCUUUUAAAUCAAUCAAACUUCCUCCAUCACCUCAAAAACUAAAUUUGUCCCUAUCAAAGCAACCUCACCUACUUAAAACCAAAUAAUGAAAGAUCCAUAUCUUCUCCCAUAGAGAGCCUCAAAUAGAGCCAUAUAAAUACAAGAGUGAUAGUUAUUAUUGUAGGCAAACUCAAUCAAAGGUAAAUGGUCAUCCCAACUACCCUUGAAGUCAGUAACAAAAGCCCUCAAUAUGUCCUCUAAGGUCUGAAUGGUCUCCUCUGCCUAACCAUAGUUCGAAGGAUAAAAUAGCCAACUGAGAUGCACUUAGGUACCAAGACCCUUCUAGAAAGCCUUCCAAAAAAGAGAGGUAACCUGAUUAACUCUAUCUAAAAUAAUGGUCAAUGGAUUUCUAGCAACUUUUCCAACUCCUGAGAUAGGGCCUAACAUCAGUUGAGCAUAAAGUAUGAACUGGCAAGAAAUGAUCUUACUUGGCCAUUCGGUCUAUAAUGACCCAUAUAAAAUCAUGAUGACAAUGCAUUUGAGGAAACCCUAUCACAAAAUCCAUAUUCAUUACUUCCCACUUCCAGGGGGUAUUCUAUACUCCUAAAGUAUACCACUAGGCCUUCAUGGCCAACCUUAACCUACUGAUAAUCCUCACACUUAGCCACAAACUCUGUAAUAUUAUUUUUUCAUACCACUCCACCAUUGAUUUCCCACAAAUCACGGUACAUCUUAGUGGCUCCUUGGUGAAUAGAAUAUCACAUACCAUGUACCUCAGCUAAAAUUCACUACCUUAGACUGUCAACACAAGAAAUACAUAGUCUUCCUUGAUAAUGAAAUACACUAUCCUCACUUGGGAGAAUACCUCAACCUUCUAAUCCCUGACUAUCUCCUUUAACUUGACAAAAAUAAUACCCCUGUCUUUCUUUUCUUUUACUUUUCUACCAAUGAGGAUUCCGAACCAUUCUGAACCCAUAAACUACCUUUAGCUAAAUCAACCAACUGAACACCUAACCUAGCAAACAGAUGUACUUCAACAAACACCUCCUUCUUAUCUUUCUCAACAUGUGCAACACUUUUCAUAGAUAAUCUACUAAGGGAAUCAACCACUACAUUGGCCUUACCGAUCAACACACUUAUAUCACUGUCUUUUAACAAUUCAAGCUAGCUUCUAUGAUGAAGAUUAAGUUCUUUCAGUGUGAACACAUACAAUAACAAUUAUUAUCCAUGAACACAUAACCAUGAACCCCAUAAAGGUAAUUUCUCUAAAUCUUUAAGGAAAAGAAAACUCCUACCAACUCAAGGUCUUAGGUUUGGUAAUUUUUCUCAUGGAGUUUAAUAUGUCUAAAGUCAUAGGCUAUGACCUUACAUCACUGCAUUAACACAUACCCAAGACCAACUCUAGAAGAAUUAUAGUAUACCAUAAACCCAUCUAUUCCAUCUGGCAAAGUCAAGACUAGAGCGGAUAUUAGUCGAGUCAUUAUCUCUUGAAAACUCUUCUCGUAGAAAUCUGACCACUAAAAUUUAACUUUCUUUUGGGUUAUGUGAGACAUAAGAGAAGAAAUAAAAGAAAAUCCUUCAAAAAACCAUCUAUUGUAACCAUCUAAACAAAAUAAAUUUCUAAUAUCUGAUGAAGAGAUGGGUCUAGGCCAGUAUCUUACUACUUAGGUCUAUUAAAGAUCAACUUGAAUGUUAUCACCAAAAAUAAUGUGACCAAGGAAAUCUAUUGAUCUCAACAAGAAUUUUUACUUAUUGAACUUAGCAAAAAACUAGCGAUCCUUAAGGAUCUACAAUACAACCUUAAAUGGUCUUCAUAAUCACUCUCACUAUGGGAAUAGAUAAGAGUGUCAUUAGUGAAGACUAUGACUAACAUGUCCAAGUACUGCUUGAACAACCUGUUCAUCAAAUACAUAAAAGUUGUAGGGGCAUUCGUUAGUCCAAAAGACAUAACUAGGAAUUCAAAGUGACCAUACCAAGUCCUGAAGGUUGUCUUUUGAGUGUCACAUUCUCUAACUCUAAGCUGAUGAUAGCCAGCUCUAAGGUCUAUCUUAGAGAAAUAGCUUGCACCCUAAAGUUGGCUGAAUAUGUAAUCAAUUCUAGGGAGAGGAUAAGUAUUCUUAAUUGUAACUACGUUCAAUUAAUGGUAGUCAUUGCAUAUUCUGAGAAAACCAUCUUUCUUGCACAUGAAAAGAACUGGAGCACCCAAUGGGGAAAUACUAGGAGGGAUGAAACCCUUAUCUAAAAGAUCUUCAACUAUUUCUUAAAUUCCUUAAGCUCAGUUGGAGCCAUUAUGUAAUGUGGAAUAGAGAUAGGCUGGAUACCUAGCAGGAGAUAUAUUCUAAAAUUAAUUUCCAUUUCGUGAGGAACUCCAGGAAGAUCUUCAGAAAACACAUCUAUAAAUUCAUUCAACACUAGAACCAACUCAAGACUCAAAGUUUCAAAAUUUGAGUCCUUGACACAAAUGAGAUGGUAUAUACAUCCCUUUGAUAUUAUAUUUUUAGACUUAAGAUAGGAGGCAAAUUGACCCUUAAGCACAAAAGCACUACCCCUCAAUUCAAUAACUAUUUCAUUAGGAAACUGGAAUAGAGCAAUUUUAUUUCUACAAUCAAUUGAGUUAUAGCAUGAGCAGAUCCAAUCCAUGCUGAGAAUGACAUCAAAAUCAUUCAUCUCUAACUCCACCAAAUCAACUAAAGUAACUUUCUUAGAAAAUAUAAUCAGGUAAUUUCUAUAAACCCAUCUAACUACAAUAGACUUACCAACUAGGGAAGAAACUAAGAAAGGCUCUACUAGUGUUUCGAUACUAACAGUAAAGUCCAAAGCUAUAUAAGGACUUAUAAAAUAAAGUAAAGCUUUAGGGUCUAUCAAUGCAUAAAUAUAAAUAUGGAAGACUUGAAACGUACUCAUAACUAAUCAGCAAAAUUCUCCUGAUUAUUUCAAGUUUGGUAAGCAUAAAGGUGGUUCUGACGAUACCUACUGGUGGUACUUGAUGUGGCACCCUGCUGAGUUGGGUGACCUUUUGAAGCUGAUGAAAAGUUGGACUGGCCCUAUUGAAACAAAUCCUUUCUACUCUGAACAACCACUAAAAAAUCCAUGAUUCUAUGUCAUAGUUGUUAAAUCCAAAACAUAUAUCACUACCCCCUUUGCAUUUACCUUGAUGAUUUUUACCACACUUCCAGUAAAGAAGAUUAGUGGAACUACUAUUCAUACUACAUUGAGACUUAGAACAUGUCGCUCUAUCCUGACUGUCCUUCCUAAACUAAGGCACUGGUGUACUAGUUAAAGAUUGGCAGGAGGUAAAAUUUUUUGGUAGAACUGAGAAUGGUUCUCGCCUUCAAACAUUGACUGAGAAAAGUUAAAUCUACUUAUUCUAGGCCUCUUAUUCUAGCUUUUCUUUUCCUUGAUCUUCUCCUUCUCAAUUGGCUAAGCAUGAACUAUCAGCCUAGAAAGGCCCAUCUCCUAAAUUAACAUGGUUGUCCUACACUCCUUUACUACACUAUCAGACACACCAGACACAAACUUGCUUAUCUUAAACCUGGAGUCGGGAACCAUAGUUGAAGAAUAUCUUACCAACUGAGUAAACUUAAGUGAGUAUUCCCACACACUCUGGUUACCCUAAUUAAGAUUUAUGAACUCUUGUACCUUAUUCUCGCUAUACUCAGUGGGAUAAACCUAUCUAUAAAGGUCAUGGCAGACUUCUCCUACUCUAUAAGCCCUGCCUUAUCACACCGGUCCUUCUUCCACUACAUAAACUAAGUAUGAGCUACUCCCUACAACUAGUAAGAAGCUAAGUCUGCACUCACUCAAAGUGACACCCAUGAUACCUGUAACUUUUUGCAUCUCUUCCAAAAACUUCUGCAGAUCCUCCUCAAACUUGAUCUAGAAAACAAAAGGGUAUUCAUCCAAGUAACGUAUCGAAUCAUGGAUAUAGUCAUAUUUAAUAAUGGAUUGAUUGGAGCAAUAGCCUACUAGCUAUUUUGGGUAGCUGUAAAUUGAGACAAGGCUAUGAAGGUGGCCUUGAGCUUAGUAUGGAAAACAAGGUCAUACAUGGGAUCUUCCUAAAUAGGUGGUAGUGCAGGAUGAUAUCCAUUCCUUAUUACAUUAUUUCUUCUUAGAGGCAUUUUCUGUAAAUGAAAUAGUGGAUUAGUUAUAAAAAGGGAAUUUAAUAGAGCUAAUGCUCUUUUGCACGUCAUGAAUGAAAGAAGGGAAACUUACCAAAAAACUUCUCAUAGCCUCAUGCCCAUAAGUAUGGUUCUCUUAACACACAUGCAUAAGAAUCUACUCAAUAUGGAUUUAAGACACCCUAGGACACUUUAAAACUUUAGGCUCUAAAAUAAAGUUUUGUCAUGACUUGAGGCUUCCCUCUAGUCACGACAUGGUACUUAAGGCUACAAGUGACCCCAAGCUAACCCAUGAUCUGGUACAUAUUGUGAGAACUGAAUAAAAUAAAAUUGAAACAUCAUACGUGGAAGAUAAAUGGAUAAAGUUCUGAUAUGAUAUGAUAUAGCACUAAAAUAUAAACCAAUAUUUCUGAAAUAAUUGAAUAGACUAAAAAACUAGACUGCAGUCUAAAAGCCUCUAAAACAUAAGGAGUUGAUGGGACAAAUCCCCAACUAACUCAAAUUAUCUAAGAUAUAGAAAGUAUUAAAAAUAAAUUAAGAAAACAUUUGGUCCUCAUUGAAUAAGGACUCACCACUACUGUUGUUGAGAGGUAUUGAGUUGUCUAAGAAUAAUUAAGGUACUAUUCAUCCAAAACUAUAUUGUAAGACAACAUAGCAUAAAAGAAGAGUAUGUGAUCAAUACUUUGAAUGUACUCAUACGUAAGGUAAGGAAUAACUGGACAUACAUUACAAAAAUAAACACGAAUGCAUGAAUAAGUAAAAAUAAGAAUGCAUGACCAAGUAAAGGAUGUACUAAAAUAAUCUAUUAAACUAACUGACUGAAUAACUAAUAAACAGAAUCCUUCGUCAUGGAAACCUGAGCUGAUAUAAUCUGAAUACUAAACUAAACUAAAACUGUGGGAGUUAUUAUGUAACUGACAUGCCCUAAUCUGAGCUAAUCAGGGUUAAAACACCCUGGGUUUUUAGAACUAUAGAAAAUUUCAUAGAUUUUUAUUCUUUGGACAUCAUAUGACUAGGGGGUAUUAGUUAUAUGAUGGGGUACCAUUUGUAUAGUCUUGGUCGUAUGUUAACCAAUAUUGGCUGGUGGGUUUGAUUGGUUUUUAGUGUGGGUACAACUUGGGUGGGUACGAGUCAUAUGGUGGGUGAUGAUUCGUAUUGUUUAGUUUUUCUAUCACUCAAUCUGAAAUUUGGUAACUUAACUUGGAUCUGAGUACGAAUGGAUCACCAUGAGCCGCAAUAUUGGGUAUGAGUCAUACCAUGCACUUGUAUGGUGAAAAGUGUCCAAAUCCUCUUUGAUUUCCAUUUUAUGGCAGGUACGAGUCGAGGGUACAGGUCGUCUUAUAUGGUUGCAUAUUGUGCAAUGUUACGGUCCAAAGGGAGUCCUAGGGUAUGAGUAAUGGGUACCACUCGUAUGGUAGGAUACGACUGGUAUGGGGUGGUUAUACCCUCCUGCGGGAUUUUUAAAAAUUUAAGUAGGGGUAAUCUAUAAAUUUCCCUACUUAACCUCUUAAGGCCCCAUGAAAUAUAACUCUCUGGUUACAUCAUUUACCCUAAUAUUCUAAUCAUAAACACUUAGAAACUCUCAAAUUCUAUGGAAGGCUCUUGGUUUAAGAAAGGCUAGGACUUUAUCUAGAGGAUCGGCUUGUACGGGUGAUUUCUCUCUUUCGUCUUCAUAAUCUAAGGCAAGAUACUUCUCCCUCAUGGUUAGUUCCAACUAAAGGCAUAUUUUAUGAAUUAUUUUCAUGGCAUAAUUGUUUUAUGGUUUUGGGUUUUAAAUUAUAUGUUGGGGAUUUUGAUUUUAAAUGCUUGGUUAUGGUUUUACCAUGUUUUAAUUAUGGAUGUACAUACUUUAAUCGUGUCUUGGACAAUUGGUUGCAUGGAAAUGGUUAAUUGGUAAUUGGUUUUGGUGUUGGAAUCACUAUACCCCGACAUGUUUGAUAAAGUUCCUAUGAGAAUACUCUUACUAUAUUAUUAAACUUUUAAUGGAACUAUUGCAUGUUAUAACUUGGUAAUGGAACCUUAAAUGGCAUAAAUUGUUUAAAUGGUUUGGAAUGGUUAAAUGGUAAGGUCUUGGUGGUGAUGAUUAUAGUUAAUUAAACAUUCCUUGUGGGGUACGAGGAAAUCCCCAAAGUGGACCUAAUUAUAAACCACUUGUGGGGUACACGAGACUCCCCCGAGUCAACAUGAUAAUGAAACCUAUGGGUACAAAGAAAUACCUUAAUAUUUGAAAGGUUGGCUAAAGACAUUGCUUGCAAGCUAUAGUUGGUAUGAAGAUACCACUAUUUAUAUACUUAGUUAAUAACAAAUGGAAUGGUUGUCUUGGUUAUGUGGUAAUGGUUUUAAUUGGGUAAUAAUGGUGGGGUGUAAUUAUUAGCAAUGAAGGUGUUAGUCCAAUGGACGUACACUAGAAACUCAUGUUUUCCGCCAUGAGAAUUUGGUCAUGAUGACCAUAUGGGGUACAUGGCAAUCCCCUAAGUUACAUUUGUAUAUAUGCAUCAUAGAGCGCGAAGGAUACUUGGGAAUCCCCUACUCCUAUGGUAUCUUCGAUUCAUGUGGUUACACAAAUCGAGGCUCGAUCAGGGGGUAACACUUGACCCAUAUUUCCUGUGGGUGGUACUAGGAUGGUUAAGCUACACAUACCCAGGUUAAUGAUUUUAAAUGCAUGGUAAACCAAAUUUUCUUUCCUAACAUGAUUUUUAUAUAUAUACAUAUACAUAUAUAUCUACAUAUAUAGAUAGAUAGAUAGAUAGAUAGAUAUGGAUUUGUAUGCAUAUGGUUGGUUUACUAGGUUUUAAUGGUUUGCAUUAUUUUAUUCUUAUCUUGAGUACUUGUUAUUGUUUACCCGCUAACCCAUCUUCGGGCAUAUGUAUACUCACGCGAUUACUCCUACUUAGUGAUCAGAUUCAGGAUCAGCUAUGGGAUUAAAGUUGUGAGCUUCUAUAUUCUAGAAGCCUUUAUUUUAUAUCAUGGAUGUCUUUACAUACUUUUCGUCAUUUUAUGGAUAUUGGAUUUGGCUAUAGUUGGGGGCAUGUCCAAACCAAAUAUUGUUUUUCCUUUUAGUUAGUGUCUUUCUGGAACUACUAUGGGAUGGAAUGGGCAGUGUCUGUAUUUGUGUCCACCUUAAUUUUGGCAUUGGUAUUGGUUCUAACACCAUUUGACUGAAUUUAUGAUUGUUCCAUCCUUUUAUGUUAUGUUAUGAGCAGGAACUUAUUUUUUAUUUGUUUGGUUAUUGUUGUUGCUUUGUAUUAGAAGGUUGGACCUUUUUUUGUUUUUUCAUGGUUAUAGACCUAUCCCAGUGUCUUGAAUUGUAACAAAUGCUUCCUUGUUAUACUAUCGGAAUUCAUCCGACUCAAGGUAUAUGUAUUUUGACAUUACGUUGGGUAACAGGGGUAUUCUCCGAUCCUAGUUUGACUUGGGAUGUCCAUUAUGACAAGGCCUUGGUUUGGGUCAUGUAAAGUUGGUAUUAGAUCUUUAGGUUCAUAGUCAAUAGGUAAUCCACAAAAACAUGUCAAGUAGAGUCUCUUUUAAAGGUGUGUAGUGCGCCACACUUAUAAGGGAGAGGCUACAAGGCUUUAGGAAAUGUUUCUCUUCUUUGUGUUCUAUUUUCAAGCUUAGAUUCUAAGUUCUAGAAUCUUCUCUAAUUCUGUUGAAUCACUUCUCAAAUCAUUCCUUAAUGAUAUGAAGUUCACAAAAACUCCUCUAUCCCAACUAGGGAGAAUAUUGAUGGGACACGCUCUACUCAGGGGAUCCAUACUCGGUCUAGGUUCCUGUCCCUGAUAUUCUAGAGUUCUAAUGGUUCCUUCUAGUGUUCCUCAAGCUUAAGUAAUGAAUUUUAAGUUUUGUCAGUCAAUUCAUAUAAUUUCUCAGUUAGUAGUUUCUUAGUCUAAGCGCGGUGCAUAUAGUAUUGCAUUGUUUGAGGCCACAAGGGUUGGCCAAUUCAUGAAGAUGAGUUCUCUAACCUUUACUAGCAUUAAGGUAGAGUAUGAUCCUUAGGGUUUUUGGAUAAGAUGGAAAAGAUUUCUUAGAUUAUGCUGCCAUGAAUAUUGAAGGGCUUGAGUUUGCUUCUUAUUAGCUCAAAGAUAUAGCAUACCAAUGGUAUGAGAAAUAGGAUAGGGCAAGGGGUGAUGUUAUAAAAUCAUCCUUAUGGGAGACUUUCUCCAAUGUAUUUCUAAACUACUCUUUCCUCAAGAUCUGAGGGAAGCAAAAGUGGAGGAAUUUAUUAAUCUGAAAUAGGGAUAUUUAUCAAGGAGUAUGCCUUGAAAUUUUACCAGUUGUCAAGGUAUGCUCAAGAAAUAGUAACUGAUGAAAAUGCUUGGAUAAGAAAGUUUGCAUUGAGACUGUCUCAGGAUUUGAUCCUUGAAAUCAAGACUGCAUUACUGAUUGGGGACAUGGAUAUAUAUAGGUUAGUUGUUUAUAUUCAAUAGGUAGAUAAGAAAAGAAACAAGUUGAGAUAGGUGAAUGGAAAGGUAAGAGGUUUUUUUUAUCAAAGUAGUGGUCAAUAACAAAGUUUUCCUAAUGAUGGUAAGUGGCCAAAGAAGUAGGGGAAUUUUGAUUCCUUCUCCAUAUCUAGUACUCCUUACCUGAAUCAAUUGGGUGAUAGACAUAAUUAUGGUGGCAACAGCUUUAGGGAAUAGGGUUCCUAAUCUUAGGAAAGUAAGGCACAGACGGCUUUAUUGUGUCCUCUUAAAAGGUUCUACAGUCGGUUGAAUAGGGGUUACUAUGAUGAGAGAAGGGACAGGUGUUUUAAAUAUAGUUAGCCAUCCAUAUGCUUAGAAACUGUCUGGUUGGUAAGGUUUCUUUAGGAGCAAAUAAGGUUUCGGUUGCCUCUUCAUCUACUGCUACGCUGAAGGGUAUUAUUGCUUCUACAUCUAUUUCUGCUUUAGGUAUCAAUAUAGGUCGGAAUAGGUUUUAUGCUCUUGCUACUUGAUAGGAAUCUGAGGCGUCACUGAUGUCAUGGCUCGUACGUUACAACUUUUUUCUCAGGAUGUUUAUUAUUUACUUAAUCCACGAUUUACUCCCUCUUAUGUGACCCCAUUUGUUGUUGUGCAUUUUGAUUUUGAUCUCAAGGUUAUUUCAGAUAUUUUUUCUAUUUCUACCCGGAUAGUUGACUCUCUAGUUGCUCAAAGAGUCUAUACGAGGUAUGUGGUAUUUGUUGCUAGUAAGGAGACUUUGGUGGAUUUGUUUGAAUUAGAUAUGGUGGAUUUUAAUGUUAUCCUGGGUAUGGAUUAGUUACAUUCGUGCUAUACAUCACUAGAUUGUCAAACCUAUUGGGUUAUUUUUACAUUCCCUAGUGAACUAACUGGUUAUUGAAUGGAAGGGUGAUUCCUUAGCUCCUAAUGGGAAGUUUAUAUCCUAUCUUAGAGCCCAGAGAUUAAUCUCCAAGGGGUGUCUCUAUCAUCUAGUCUAGGUUAAAUAUUUUAACUGAAAAGGUCCUUCUUUGCAUUGGAUUUCGAUGGGGAAUGAGUUUCCUGAGGUUAUUCUAGGUGAUCUUCCUGAUGUUCCUCGAGAUAGGGAGAUUAAGUUUGGGAUAUAUUUGGCUUCGGACACACGUCCAAUAACUAUUCCUCUUUAUAGAAUGGCUCUGACUGAGUUGAGGCAACUUAAGGAGCAACAUAAGGAUAUCUUGGAUAAGGGUUUCAUCCAUCCUAGUGUGUCCCUUUGGGGUGCACCAACAUUAUUCAUGUGCAAGAAGGAUGGUUCCUUUUGGAUGUGUAUUGACUAUAGGCAGUUGAAUAUGGUGACGGUUAAGAACAAGUAUCCUCUCCCAAGGAUAAAUGACUUGUUUGAUCAGUGGCAAGGUGCAAAAUUCUUAUCCAAGAUAGAUCUUUGGUCUUAGUAUCAUCUGCUUAAUAUUAGGUAGGUGAAUAUCCAUAAGACAACUUUCCAUACUAGAUAUAGGAACUUUGAGUUCUUCGUGAUGUCAUUUGGUUUUGCCUAAUUUUGUGGUACCUAUAAUGGAUUUGAUGAAUAGGGUAUCCCAUAAGUUUCUGGAUUUUUUGUCAUUGGUUCACCGAUGAUAUCCUGAUAUAUUCUAAGAGCAAGGUGGAUCAUGCCAAUUACCUUCGUGUGGUGUUGCAGAUAUUGAAAGAGCAGCAGUUGUAUGGAAAUUAUGUAAAUGUGAAUUUUGGUUGAUCGUUGUUACUUUUCUUAAUUAUAUUAUUUCUAGUGGGGGAACAAUGGUGGAUCCACAAAAAGUGGUGGUGGUUAAGAAGUGUCCUAGACCCAUAACUUUAAACGAUAUUCGGAGCUUCACUGGGUAUUAUAGGAGGUUUAUGGAAAGUUUCUUGAUGAUAACUGCUUCAUUGACCAAGUUGACUCAUAAGAUGGUAAAGUUUUUUUGGUUGGAUGCCUCUGAAGGUAGUUUCGAAGAGAUGAAAGAGAAGAUAAAUUUGUCUCUAUUUUUGAAUUUGUCUGAGGGCAAUAAGGGGUUUGUCGUUUACUGCGAUGCAUCCUGGGUGGGACUUAGUUAUGUUUUAAUGCAGCAUGGUAAGGUGAUUGCUUAUACCUUUAGGCAGUUGAAAGUGCAUGACAAGAAUUAUCCUGCUCAUAAUUUAGAAUUGUUAGUUGUGAUUGUUGCAUUGAAGGUCUGGACACUAUUUGUAUGAAGUGCAUGUAGAUAUCUUCUUGGAUCAUAAAAGUUUGCAGUAUUUAUUUAUUCUGAAGGGGUUUAACCUCAGGCAGAGGAGAUGGCUUGAGCUUCUCAAGGACUAUGACAUGAGUCUUCACUACUAUCUAGGUUAGGAUAAUGUUAUUGCUAAUAUUCUUAGCAGGUUGUCCAUAAGGAGUUUAGCUUUUGUGGAAAAGGAGAAGCGGGAGUUGGUGAAUUGUAUUCAUCGCUUGGCUAAUCUUACAGUUUUUCUUUUGGACUCCAAGAAUGGUGGUAUAUUGGUACAGGAAGUGGUUCAGUCGGCUCUUGGUGCAGAGAUCAAAAAGUAAAUGCUAGAUCCUAUCUUGAUAAAAAAACAAGGGUGAUAUAGGUGGGCAAAUGUUAAUGGUAUUUGAGAUCAGUGGUGAUGGUACCUUGUUGUACCAAAGGUGAUGUCGAUGGUUUGGGACAAAGGAUAUUAUUUGGGGUGCAUGAAUUGCUCUACAUUGUUCAUCCUAAUUCAAUGAAAGUGUAUCAUAAUCUCAAGGAGAUGUACAAUGGUAUAAAAAAGGAUGUGGCUAAUUUUGUGGCCAAGUGUUUAGUGUGUUAAAAGGUGAAAGUUGAGCUCAUACGGCCUGGUUGAUUAUAUCAAGGAAUGGAUUUUUUGAAAUGGAAAUGGGAGGUGAUCAAUAUAGAUAUCGUUACCGGUUUUCCUCAGUUUCGAAAUCAAUUUGAUUCAAUUUGGGUAAUUGUAGAUAGGAUGACAAAUUCGUCUCUUUUUUCUAGUAAGGACUAACUUUUUGGUGAAGGAUUAUCUGAGGUUGUAUCUUCAUGAGAUUGUGAAGCUAUAAAGGGUACCUAUUUCUAUUAUCUUUGAUCGUGGUAUGCAAUUUUCAUCUCACUUUUGUCAGUCAUUUUAGAAGGGGUUGGGUACUAAGGUUAGUCUGAGUAUUGUUUAUCACCAGCAGAUAGAUGGGCAAGCAGAAAGGACUAUUCAUACAUUUAAAGAUAUGCUUCAUGCAUGUGUGAUUGAUUAUGGCGGUAAUUGUAUUGAAUGUCUACCUCAUGUAGAGUUUGCUUACAAUAAUAGGUAAUAUUUCUUUGAGGCAUUGCAUGGUAGGAGGUGUAGGUCUCCUAUUGGGUGGUUCGAGGUUGGUGAGGCGGCUAUGUUUGGUCCAAACUUGGUUCAUCAGGCUAUGGAAAAGUUGAAGGUGAUUCGAGAUUGGCUUAAGGUUGCUCAAAGUUGCCAAAAGACCUAUGUAGAUGUAAGGCAUAGAGACUUGGAGUUUGAGUCUGGGGAUACGGCGUUCCUAAAGGUGUCUCCCAUGAACGGAGUAAUGUGGUUUCAUAAGAAGGGGAAGCUCAGUCCCUGGUAUAUUGGUCCUUUUGUGGUUUUGAGCAGGGUUGGUAAUUUUUCUUAUGAAUUGUAAUUGCCUUCUAGUUUGAGCUCCAUUCAUUCGGUAUUUUAUGUCUCUAUGUUGACAAAGUUUUUUGGUGAUCCUUGUUUAGUUAUUCCUUUUGAAGGAUUAGGCAUUUAAGAUUCUCUGUCUUAUGAAAAGAUCUCGAUUGAGAUCUUAGAUUGGUAGAUUCAUCGAUUACGAACAAAGGAUGUUGCCUCGGUUAAUGUUGUAUGGCGGAUCUAUAAGGUGGAAGAGGCUAGUUGGGAAGCAAAAGAGGACACUUCAGUAUCUGCACUUGUUUUUUGCUUUGGAAGUUCGUCCAGAAGGUAUGUGUUGUUGAUCACAUCUUUUUUUCUAACUUAGCUAAAGGCUAGAUUGAUUUUUUAUAAUGCAAUGACUCAUGUUUUUGCUUACCCUACCCAUCAUUCGAGGACGAAUGAUCCUAGUGUGGGAGACUGAAACACCCCAAAUUUUUGGAACCUUAGAAAAUUUCCUAGAUUUCUAAUUUCUGGACAUCAUACGACUAGGGGGUACUAGUCGUAGAUGGGGUAUGGUUGGUAUGGUCUUGGUCGUAUGUUAACCAGUAUUAGUUGGUGGGUUGGAUUAGUUUCUAGUAUGGGUACGAAUUGGGUGGGUACGGGUCUUAUAAUGGGUGACAGUUCAUAGGUUUGGUUUUUCCAUCACUUAAUCUAAAACUUGUUAACUUAACAUUAAUCUGAGUACGAAUGGCACACUAUGAGCCGUAAGAUAGGGUAUGAGCCGCUCCAUUCACUUGCAUGGUAUAUAGUGUCUAAGUCCUCUUUGAUUUUUAUUCUGUGGUAGGUAUGGGUCAAGGUUAUAGGUCGUAUGAUUCAAUACGACUUGGCUUGGAUGUUCUUACGAUGGGCAGUAUUGGGGUCCAAGCAUAGGCCUAUGGUAUGAGUGAUGGGUACCACUCAUACGAUGGGGUACGACUGGUAUGGGGUCGUCAUACCCUCCAGUGGGAUUUUUAUACAUUUAAGUGGAGGUAAUCUGGACAUUUCCCAACUUAACCUCUUAAGGCCCCUCAACUUAUAACUCUCUUGGGACAUCAUUUAUAGUAAUAUUCUAAUCUUAAACACUUAAAAACUCUCUCAAAUUCUCUCUAAGCUCUUGGGUAAGGAAAGGCUAGAUAUUUCUCCCUCAUUGUUAGUUCCAACUAAAGGCAUAUUUUAUGAAUUGUUUUCAUAGCAUAAUUGUUGUAUGGUUUUAGGUUUUCAAUCAUAUAUUGGGGGUUUUGGUUAUGAAUUCUUGGUUAUGGUUUUCCCAUGUUUUAACUAUGGACUUACAUACUUUAAUGGAGGCUUGUACAAUUGGUUUCAUAGGAAUGGUUAAUUGGUAAUUGGUUUUUGUUUGGAAACACUAUGCUCCUACAUGUUUGAUAAAAUGCCUAUGAGAAUAUUUUUACUAUAUUGUUGGACUCUUAAUGGAACUAUUGCAUGAUAUAACUUGGUAAUGGAACCCUAAAUAGCAUAAAUGGUUUAAAUGGUUUGGAAUGGUUUAAUGGUAAGGUCUUGGUAGUAAUGGUUAUGGUUAAUUAAGCAUUCCUUGUGGGCCCUCCAAGUGAACCUUUUUAUAAAACACUUGUGGGGUACACGGGACUCCCUCCCAAGUCAACUUUAUAAUAAAACCUAAGGGUACAAGGGAAUCCCUUAAUCUUUGAAAGGUUGGCUAAGGACAUUGCUUGCAAGCUAUAGGCGGUAUGAUGAUACCACUAAUUAUAGACUUGGUUAAUAACAAAUUGAGUGGUAGUCUUAUUUAUGUGGUAAUGGUUUUAAUUGGGCAAUAAUGGCAAGGUGUGAUAGCUAACCGUGAAGGUGUAAGUCCAAUAGACAUACACUGGAAGCUUAUGUUUGUCGGUAUGAGGAUUUGGUCAUGAUGACCAUAUGGGGUACAUGGGAAUCCCCUAAGUUACACUUUUUUAUAUGUAUCAUGGAGAGCGAAUGGUACUUGGGAAUCCACUACUCCUAUGGUAUCUCCAGUUUGUGCGGCUACAUACAUCGGGGCCUGUUAGGGGUUACACUUGACCUAUAUAGCCCGUGGGUGGUACUAGGACGGUUAAGCUACACAUACCUAGGUUAAUGGUUUUAAAUGUAUGCUAAAAUUGGUUCCAUUUCCCGGCAUGUUUUAUAUACAUAUAUAUAUAUAUACAUACAUAUAUAUAUGUAUGUAUAUGUACGGAUUUGUAUGCAUAUGGUUGAUUUACUUGGUUUUAAAGGUUGUCAUGAUCUUAUCCUUAUCUUGAGUAAUUGUUAGUAUUUACUCGCUAACCCAUCUUUGUGUGGCUAUAUCCCCAUGCAAUGCAGAGACCGACCAUUCUACUACUCUUGCUUAGCGAUCAAACUCGGGAUCAGCUAUUGGAUUGAAGUGGUGAGCUUCCAUAUUUUGUAAGGCUCCAUUUCAUAUCAUGGUUGUCUUUACAUACUUCUGUCAUUUUAUGGAUAUUGGUUUUAGCUAUGGUUGGGGGCAUAUCCCAACCAAAUUUUAUUUUUUCCUUUUAUUAGUCUUUUUAGAAAUACUAUGGGUUAGAAUGGGCGGUGUCGGUAUUGGUGACAGCCUUACUAUUAGCAUUGGUAUUGGGGCUUAUACCAUCUGACUGAAUUUAUGAUUGUUCUAUCAUUUUGUAUUAUAAAAAUAAACUUGUUUUUGUAUUAUUUUGGUUAUGGUUGUUGGUUGGUAUUGGACGGUUGGACUUGUUUGGGUUAGUCACGGUUAUAGACCUAUUCCACAGUCUAGAAUUUUAAUAAAGGCUACCUUGUUAUACAGUCAGAAGUCAUCCAACUCAGGGUAUACGUAUUUUGAGGUUAGGUUGGGUAAUAGGGGUAGUCUCCAGUCCUGGUUGAACUUGGGAUGCCCAUUAUGAGAAGGCCCUGGUUUGGGUCAUGUUAAGGAUCCAACCUAUAACCCUAGUUUGAUGGGUAUCAGUACCUUACCAUAGGUACUUACACUGGCUGUGUGGAUCCACUAAAUUGGUGUCCCAAAGGACUAGGGUGUUAGUACACUACUGGCGGGUAACCCUUAAAAGAAUGUCAGUCCUCUACUGGUGGGUGACAUAUCAUAACCUAUGAUGGCUAUGUAGUUCUAGAACUUAGAUAUUUCUACUAAAGUUCUUAGUCCUCUACUGGCGGGUGAGCUUUUAUCCCUAGGUUCGCUUGAUGCUAAUCCUACUCCCAACUUAACUGUCACUAGUAUUGAUUACUGUUAACUAAACUCAUAACUAAUAGUGCUCAGCAUGAGCAUAACAGAACUGACUAUGAUAAUGGAAUUAAUGAUUUAACUAACUUAGUACUUGAAAAUCUGAAACAUGAGUAAACACAGAGGUAUUGGGUGUUCAUAACCCUCCCGUGUUAAAUGAUACUAAAAUACGAUUACACCACUUAAAAAUUUAUAGAAAGUUAUAAUUCAGAGACCAAAACAAAAAUACAUUUCAAAGAAUGACUGAGAUACAUGAAUUUGAAAUGGGGAGGUGUUAAACUUGGGAGGAUAACAAUAUAUUAUGGUUUCAUUCAUAACUUGAUAAUUUGACAUGGGGUCAAUUGAAUAUGACAUGGGUAAUUGCAAUUCAAAGUAUGAAAUAACCUAAUUUACACAGGAAAACACGUUGACAAGGCUUGAAUUCAAAUUACUAAGAAAAACAACAACAUGGAUUAAAUUCAUAUUUAAUCCUGAUAAAUUUCACAAAAGAGAAUGCGCAUUCAUUUGAUCCUGAUCCUUGUGGAUCGAAAGGUAGACUAGACUGGACCUGCACGGCCCUCCUAAUAAUAUCCAUAAAUGAGUUGUUUUUGGUAAUAGAUGAACAUUACCGCAUGUAAAUUCUGGUGCAUGAUAGACACCGGUACUCCAGUGCAUUUCUCCAUCUGAAUCAGAAUAAAUAUGUUUUCAAACCUUCUCUUUAAAAUUUAAAGUGGAUAUUCCUGCGCGAAUAUCAGUAAUUACUUGUUCUGAUUCUACAUAUUGAUCGUUUUGAACUAAAAGCAAACUUUUGGGUGGAAUAUUCACAUUAUGUAGAAUAUCUUCACUCUCAAUAGUUACAUACAAGUCUAUAGAACAUAGAAAGGCGGGAUGCCCAUGACGUGUACGUAUCGAAUGAACCAAAUCCUCAUUGAAUUUUAUUUUUCCAUUAGAUGGGGCUCGCACAUGUUCUACAGUACCCCCCGUGAAUACUCCUACAGUAUGAAAAGUUCUUAAUAUUAAUUGAGUACCAGGUUCUCCAAUCGAUUGACCUGUAAUAAUACCUACAGCUUCCCCCAACUCAACCAGGUCGCCAUGAGUAGGACUCCGGCCAUAACAUAAUCGACAAAUCCAAGAUGUACUCCUACAAGUAAAGGGAGUUCGAAUAGAGAUUGGUUGUGCCCGAAAGGUUAUGAAUUGAUUUACAAGUCCAAUGCCAAUGUCUUGGUUUCUAGUGGCAAUACAUCGUGAACCCAUGUAUAUAUCAUCUGCUAAUACACGGCCAAUUAAUGUUUGACUAAAAAUCCUUUCCGGCAUCAUCUCAUUCCAAGGACUCACAGAAAUACCCCGGGCGGUGCCACAAUCCAUUCAACGAACAACAAUGUGUUGAACUACUUCAACAAGUCUGCGAGUGAGAUAUCCAGUGUCUGAUGUUCGUACAGCAGUAUCCACAACUCCUUUACGGGCUCCGUAGCAAGAAAUGAUGUAUUCUGUUAAAGAGAGUCCUUCGCACAAAUUGUUUUGAAUAGGUAAAUCAAUCAUUUGUCUUUGAGGAUCUGACAUUAAUCCUCGCAUACCUACUAAUUGAUGUACCUAAGAUGCAUUUCCUCUAGCUCUCAAGAAAGACAUUAUAUGAACUGGAUUAAAAGGGUCAGUCAUCAUAAAUUUCGAAUUCAUUUCUUGUCGCAAAUAUUCACUUGUAGCAUACCAUAUUUCAAUGGAUUGACGUAAUUUUUCUACCGUGUGUACAUUCCCAUAAUGAUGGUGUUUUUUCAAAAUCAAGCUUUGUUGUUCAGCAUCUUGAGCGAGCCAUCCCUUAGAAGGUAUUGUUAAAAGGUCAUCAAUUCCUAAUGAAAUGGAUGUAGCAGUAGCUUGUUGGAACCCCAGAAUUUUUACUUGAUCUAGGAUAUGUGAUAUAUAUGCCAUUCCGAAGUGCUCUAUUAAUCUACUAAUAAGUCAUUUCAUGGAAGUUCCGUCUAUCGCUUUAUUGUGAAAGACCAGAUUGGGCCGUUCUGCCAUAGGUACCUCUAUAUUUCGCUGAGUAGGAUUCGACAAUGGGUUUGAGUCAGUGAUUGUAAAACUUCCUUUUAUCGAUCUUGAUUCACGUAUAAAUUCUGAAACUAUGUACCUAGCUGAACCGAAGAACCCCAAAGUCCCACGGUAUCAUAUAAUUACGUUAGGUACCAUAUGAAUAGGCUCGAGAAAACCCCUAUAUAGCUUCUUUGAUUUCUCGAUAAAGAGCAAUAUGACCAACAGUGGUUUGAAUGUAUAUAAAAAGGAUUUGUUUUUGUAGACUUCUUACUAUUAGAUAGUGUCCAUAAAUCUCAUAAAAGAACCUAAAGAUUCAUAGUGAACUUCGAUGGGAGUUUCUCUUGAAGCAAUAACGCGGUUAUCUAGUCACCACCGGAGCCACAAAGGACUAUCUAAAUUGAUUCGUUUCUGCCGAUAAGCCCAAAUUGCAUCAUAGGAAUUCAAAAAAAGGGGUUCUUUCGUAUACUUAUAGUAACUAUUGUCACUUCUUUUUUGAUUUUGAUAGUUUCUGCAAUUAUAUGGAUUAUAUCUAUUUACACAAAUACCUCGAUGAUUUCCGCUCGUUAAUACAUAGAGUCCAAUAAGCAUAUCUUGGAUUGGUACGAAAAUGGGAUCCCCAAUAGUCGGAGACAAAAGAUUCAUAUGAGAAAACAUGAGUAAACAGGCCUCUACUUGAGCCUCCAAGGAUAACGGUACAUGAACAGCCAUUUUAUCUCCAUCAAAAUCGGCAGUGAAUCCCUUGCAAACUAAUGGAUGUAAGCAAAUAGUGCGCCCCUCCACUAAAAUGGGCUGGAAUGCCUGUAUGCCUAAUCUAUGCAGAGUGGGUGAUCUAUUUAGCAAUACAGGAUGUCCUUGCAUAACUUCUUGAAGGAUUUCCCAUACAAUCGGCUCUUUUUCUCGAAUUUUACUCUUAGCAACUCCUAUGUUUAAAGCAAGAUGUUUUCUAAUUAGACCAUGAAUUACAAAUGUCUGGAAAAGUUCUAUUGCUAUUUCAUGAGGCAAUCCACAUCGAUGUAAUGAAAGUGAAGGACCCACGCCAAUGACAGAACGUCCUGAAUAAUUAACUCAUUUUCCAAGUAGAGUCUCACAAAAUCUUCCCUCUUUGCCUUCAAUUACAUCAGAAAAUGACUUGUAAACUUUAUUAUGACCAUCCCUCAUUGGUUGUGCUCGGAUUCCAUUAUCAAGAAGUGUAUCCACGGCUUCUUGUACUAAUUUCUCCUGACACAUUUCUAAUUCUCCUAGAGUAGAUCUACUUGUUGUUAAUAGAUUGGUAAGGGUAUUGUUCUGAUAGAUAACUCUUCUAUAGAGUUCAUUAAUAUCUGAGCUCAUUAGUUUACCCCCAUCUAUCUGAAUGAUCGAUCUCAACUCAGGAGGAAGAACUGGUAAUAGACACAAAACCAUCAAUUCUGGCUCUAUAUUUGUUCGAAUAAAAUGCUUAGCCAAUUCCACGCAUCUAACCAAAAAGUCCUUUCUUCUUUCAACCUUUCGAUCUUCCCAUUCAUUCCCUGUGUGCCAUUCUUCCCCCAAUUCUUCCCAUUCCACCAACGAAUUCUCUAUAUAAUUCAUAAAUCUAGAUCAACUAAUUGUUCUCAGAUAGCACCUACACCAGUAGAGAUUUGUCGAUUGUGAAAUGUAUCGAAACCCUGGGUAGUAAAAAAAUUGGGAUGCUGUAUUUCCAAAACCUGGUAAAGAGCCGCCCGAUUUGGAUUUGUACAUAUAGGACAAAUGCUCUCAUUACCAUUUCUUUUUGUAUUUCUUUUUUUUUUUCAAUUCAUUUUAUACAAGUAUUUAUUAGAGUUGAGAUAACUUUGCUUGACAAUUAGGAUCUCUUUACAAAUUACAAAAAAAAAAUAUGAAUAGCAAUCAUAGAUAUCUUACCAAUCCAAUUGGGUUUUUUCUAAACGGAGCCUGGAUACUUCAUUUUUUUAGUCCAACCAAGCCAACCAUAAAUUAUUCUAAUUGAUAAUAGUAAUAUGAAUCCUCUCAAAAAUGGAUCUAAUUGCACUUCACGCUCCAAAUUUUUGAUGAUUUAAUUUAUCAUUUUAUCAUUCUUGGGCGAAAUGGGGGAUAUCUCGAUCAGGGGAGAGAACGGGGAAAUACCAUAUAACCCAAUAUAUCUGAUAAGUCGCACUAUAUGUCAACCCAAAGUAGAUUUGCCUCUCCGAGACCUCGAAAGGGAACUUUCGGAACACCAAUAGGCAUUAAAUGAAAGAAAGAACUAAAUACUAUAUUUCACUUUGAGGUGGAAACGUAACAAUUUUUUUACUGUACUUAGAAUAUUCAUAUUAGUUCUUAUCGUAUUUAUUUUAUCCAUAGAUUCUAAAAAUUCAUAAAGAAAGACAGAAUGAAUAAACUCAAAUUAUUACGAAUAGGUCUUUCUAAUGAUAAAUAAGUAUGGACUCAUUCGCUCAUAGAAAAUGAGAUCAACUCCCCCAUUGCGUAUUAGUACUUAUCGAGUAUAGAAUAAAUCUGCUUCUCUUUGUUCCUACGAAUAGAAUUGUUCUAUUAUUACCACCAGAAUAGCACACCCUUGAUUCAAAAAUAAUCGACUGAACAAGAGUGGUCCAUAGGAUAGUCAUAUUAUAGUCUUUUCCAAUGCAAUAAAGUUAUGGAGUAUUUAUUUAUCUUUGAUAUAAGGGGUAUUUCCAUGGGUUUGCCUUGGUAUCGUGUUCAUACCGUUGUAUUGAAUGAUCCCGAUUAGUUGCUUUCUGUUCAUAUAAUAGAUACAGCUCUGGUUGCUGGUUAGGCCGGUUCGAUGGCUCUGUAUGAAUUAGCAUUUUUUAAUCCUUUUGAUCCUGUUCUUGAUCCAAUGUGGAGACAGGGUAUGUUCAUUAUACCCUUCAUGACUCAUUUAGGAAUAACCAAUUCAUGGGGCGGUUGGAGUAUCACAGGGGGGACUAUAAUGAAUUCGGGUAUUUGUAGUUAUGAAGGUGCAGCGGGAGCACAUAUUGUGUUUUCUGGCUUAUGCUUUUUGGCAUCUAUCUGGCAUUGGGUGUAUUGGGAUCUAGAAAUAUUUUGUGAUGAACACACAGGAAAACCCUCUUUGGAUUUGCCAAAGAUCUUUGGAAUUUAUUUAUUUCUCUCAGGGGUAGCUUGCUUUGGUUUUGGUGGAUUUCAUGUAACAGGCUUGUAUGGUCCCAGAAUAUGGGUGUUCGAUCCUUAUGGACUAACGGGAAAAGUAAAACCUAUAAAUCCAGCGUGGGGCAUGGAAAGUUUUGAUCCUUUUGUUCCAGGAGGAAUAGCCUCUCAUCAUAUUGCAGUAGGAACAUUGUGCAUAUUAGCGGGCCUAUUCCAUCUUAGCAUCCAUCCACCACAACGAGUAUACAAAGGAUUGCGUAUGGGAAAUAUUGAAACCAUCCUUUCCAGUAGUAUUGUUGCUAUCUUUUUGUAGCUUUUGUUGUUGUCGGAACUAUGUGGUAUGGUUCGGCAACUACCCCGAUUAAAUUAUUUAGGCCCACUCGUUAUCAAUGGGAUCAGGGGUACUUCCAGCAAGAAAUAUAUCAAAGAGUUAGUGCUGGGCUAGCAGAAAAUCAAAGUUUAUCAGAAGCCUGGCCUAAAAUUCCUGAAAAAAAAUUAGCUUUUUAUGAUUAUAUCGGCAAUAUUCCGGCAAAAGGAGGAUUAUUCAGAGCAGGUUCAAUGGAUAACAGGGAUGGAAUAACGAUUGGAUAGUUAGGACACCCUAUCUUUAGAGAUAAAGAAGGGCGUGAACUUUUUGUACGUCGUAUGCCUACUUUUUUUGAAACAUUUUUGGUCGUUUUAGUAGACGGCGAUGGAAUUGUUAGGGUUAAUGCUCCUUUUAGAAGGGCAGAAUCGAAGUAUAGUGUUGAACAAGUAGGUGUAACUAUUGAGUUCUACAGCGGUGAACUCAACGGCAUCAGUUAUAGUGAUCUUGGUACUGUGAAAAAAUAUGCUAAAUGUGCUCAAUUGGGUGAAAUUUCUGAAUUAGAUCGUGCUACUUUGAAAUCCGAUGGUGUUUUUCAUAGUAGUCCAAGGGUUCAUUUACUUUUGGGCAUGCUUUGUUUGCUUUGCACUUCUUCUUCGGACACAUUUGGCAUGGUGCUAGAACCUUGUUCAGACAUGUUUUUGCUGGUAUUGACCCAAAUUUAGAUGCUCAAGUUGAAUUUGGGGCAUUCCAAAAACUUGGAGAUCCAACUACAAAAAGACAGGCAGCCUGAUACAACAUUGCUUUGGUAUCUUUCUUUUUCCCUUAUUUUCUUUCUUUUACUUUUAUUGACAUAGGGUACCAGAGAAAUCUUUAUUUGAAUCAACUUCGUUUUUACUCUUGUUCGUUCUUUAUCUGGAAGAUGAUAAAAAAAAGAAAAUAAAAAGAAACAAACAGGUAUGAAAGCUAUAAUUGUAAACCACGAUCGAAUCUAUGGAAGCAUUGGUUUAUACAUUCCUCUUAGUCUCGACUCUAGGGAUAAUUUUUUUCGCUAUCUUUUUUCGAGAACCGCCUAAAGUUCCAACUAAAAAGAACUAAAAAGGGGAAUGAAUUUUUCAUUAUCUCAGU
rnacentral:lncRNA from 1 species